rnacentral:rRNA from 1 species
UACGAAGGGGGCUAGCGUUGUUCGGAAUUACUGGGCGUAAAGGGCGCGUAGGCGGCUUCGAUAGUCGGGUGUGAAAUGCCUGGGCUCAACCCAGGAACUGCACUCGAAACUCCGAGGCUAGAGUGUGGGAGAGGAUAGUGGAAUUCCCAGUGUAGAGGUGAAAUUCGUAGAUAUUGGGAAGAACACCGGUGGCGAAGGCGGCUAUCUGGACCACAACUGGCGCUGAGGCGCGAAAGCGUGGGGAGCAAACAGG